GGCCUGAUGGUCUAGUAGUAUGAUUCCUUGUUAGGGUGGAAAUCACGUGAUCGAGGAGGUCCCGGGUUCAAUUCCCGGUUAGGCCC